UACGUAGGGUGCAAGCGUUAAUCGGAAUUACUGGGCGUAAAGCGUGCGCAGGCGGCUUUGCAAGACAGAUGUGAAAUCCCCGGGCUUAACCUGGGAACUGCAUUUGUGACUGCAUGGCUGGAGUGCGGCAGAGGGGGAUGGAAUUCCGCGUGUAGCAGUGAAAUGCGUAGAUAUGCGGAGGAACACCGAUGGCGAAGGCAAUCCCCUGGGCCUGCACUGACGCUUAUGCACGAAAGCGUGGGGAGCAAACAGG
rnacentral:rRNA from 1 species